GCCGGCAUAGCUCAGUUGGUAGAGCAACCGCCUUGUAAGCCGGUAGGUCCCCCGUUCGAUUCGGGUGCCGGCACCA
rnacentral:tRNA from 1 species